rnacentral:lncRNA from 1 species
CAAUCACAGCUGCCUGCUCUUAUUUCCUAAAAAAAGAUCAAACUGUUUCCUGCUUCAACCCCCAUGGUGGUCCCUCCACCUGAAUGGCCCUAUACUUUUCACAUAACUUUCUUCUAUUCAUUUGACAGGUCUCAGCUAAAUCUCAGUACAACAAAGAAGCCAUUUCCAGUCUCCCUAUUUAAAUAAAGUGGACUUCUUCCUCACAUUUCAUUUCUAUUUCAUCCCUCCCUUUUUUCCCUUCAUAUCGCUUGUCAUAAUUUUUAAUCCUUUCCAACUGUCUGGUCAGUCUUCUUCACUAGAAUAUAAUCUCCACAAUGCAGUCACUGCAUUUGACUUUAAAAAAAAAAAAGGCCUAGCACUGCUCACAAAAUGAUUAUUGAAUAAAUUAGUUAACAGAUGAACCUUUGUAUGCCCCAGUACCCUACCUAAAACACAGGGAAUAAUAUAUACUGUCCUGGGAGCUAACAGGGACAAUGGAUGGAAGCAGACCUUCUCACAGUAUGUUUCUCACAAUAAUGACAACUAUUUGUAAAUGUGGGAUAUACAGUCCCUACACUAUUUAAAAUAGGUAACAGCAAUUCACUUCAUAUUUGUGGGCCUCAGUUUCAAAUGAAGGGGUUGAACUACAUCAGGGCUUUUCAGUAUCAGUUCUAUUAACAUUUGGGGCUAGAAAAUGAUGUUUCAUAAAUCACCUUGACCUUUAUCCACCAGAUGCCAGUAGUACCCUUCGUCAGUUAGGAUAACCAAGUGUCUCUAGGCAUUGCCAAAUGUUUCCUAGGAGGAAAAAUUGUCCCCCACUGAGAAUCACUAAACAAGAACUGCCAAAGUAUUAACAUUCAAGUAUUUUUUUUUUUUUAAUCAAAAAUACAAACACAAGGGCUGGGACUGUAGCUCAGUGGUAGAGGACUUGCCAUGUACGUGUGAGGCACUGAGUUCGAUCCUAGCACCACAUAAAAAUAAAUAAAUAAAGAUAUUUUGCCCACUUACAAGUAAAAAAAAAAUUAAAUACAAACAAAUGACAAAAGUUUAAAUUAAAACAAUAGUGAAUCAUAAAAAGCAUCAAAGGAAAACUCUAUUAAUAUUUAAUUGAAACCCCCCAGAAUACCUCUAAUAUCACACUGAUGCUGUCAUUCUUUCAUUAAUUACUGAAAAAAUACACUGAGUUUUUAGGGACUCUAUGAUCCCUAUGAAAUAGAAAUCUUCUGAGAAUACUAUAUAUUGAGAGAAGUGAUGAAAUGACAAAACAGAAGAUCUAAGACAAGUUUAACACUGCUAUUUCUGGUGAGGAUCAAAAGUGAAAAGCAAAUAUAUUCACAUAGCUUAGUGAGCUGGUACAAAAUAUUAAAAGUGGUAAAAUAUUAAAGUUUUAUCCUUGAAUUCAGAAAUAAGAUAAGGCUACUUACUAUCAUCGCUUCUAUUUAACACUAUAGUAGAGAUCCUGACAGUACAAUAAAGCAAGAAAAAGAAAAAUAUAAGAAGUGGAAAGAGAAAUGUAAAACUGUAAUUAUUAAUGGAAAGCCCAAUUGUCUAUGUAGAAAAUGCAAUCUCAAAGAUUCUACAAAUAAGUCACUGGAAUCACCAAGGAAAUGUAAGAAGGUUGCUGAAUACAAGGUUAAUAUACAAAAUCCCAAUGAAAUUUCUACAUAUUAACAAAAAUGAAAAUAAAAUUUAGUGAAAUACUACUUACAAUGGCACCAAACAACAUGAAAUACAAGGAAUAAUUUAAUAAAAUAUGUCUAAGACCCAUACUUUGAAAAAUACAAAACACUGAUGAGAUAAUGUAAAAAAAGAAAAAAUAAAUAAAUGGAAAGACAUUAUGUUCAGAUGCAGAUUCUACCAUAUCCACAGAUUCAAUAAAGUAUCAAUCAAACUCCCAGCAAGCUUUUUUUUUUUAAAUGUUGGAUGGAUAUCAACAAGUUGCUUCCAAAAUUUAUACGGAAAUGCAAAGCAUGUGGAAUAGUCAAGAUAAUCUUAAAGAAAAAUAAAGUUGAAGGAUGUACCCUGUCAGCUAUUAAGAAUUAUUGUAAAGCUAUAGUAAUCAAGAUACUGGGAACAAAGCCACAUAUAUAGUAUAUGGUUACUUAAUUUAUGUCAGAAGGACAACUACAAUUCAGUGGGAGGUAAAGAAUGGAUCUUUUUUUUCCACUAUUUUAUUGUCCUUUUUAGACAUACAUGACAGUAGAGUGUGUUUUGACAUAUACAUACAUGGAAUAUAAUUUAUUCUAAUUAGGAUCCCAUUCUUGCAGUUGUAAAGAAUGGAUCUUUGCAAUAAAUAUUGCUGAAACUAGAUGCCUACGGGAAAAAGAUAAAAUGUGACCUCAUACAAUUCGUAAAAACUCAAGGAGAGCCAGGUGGUGCAUGCUUAUAAUACGAGCAGCUCAAGACGCUGAGGUAGGAGAAGCAUGAGUUCAAAGCCGGCCUCCGAAACUUAGUGAGGCCCUAAGUAACAUAGCGAGACCCUGUCUCUAAAUAAAAUAUAAAAAGGGCUGGGGAUGUGGCUCAGUGGUUAAGCACCUCUGGAUUCAAUCCCCAGUACCCCUCCCAAAAAAAC